rnacentral:lncRNA from 1 species
CUACCCCUGGUGCUUGGCCAUCCCACGUGCUCUCCAUGUCGUCUGAAGCACCUGCAGGGGCAGGCAUCGCAUCACUCCUGUGUAUGUGGGCAUGUGAGGGAGCUGGGGUGAGGAGCAAGGCUGUUGGGGAAAUACGGGAGGAUGGUGUAUGCACUCCAGGCUGCCUCUGUGCUCUCCUGAAUACUUCUGUGGGUUUAGGCAUCUCCUGGUGAGAUGAAGAAAACUGGGUCGGGAAGCAAAGGGUGAACAAGUACUUCCAGGCCUUCUGAAGCGAAGCUCCCUCCAGAGGACUAACAGUAUGGUGGCAAAAUCCUGGCCCAGGGUCCCUGUCCUGGUUUCAAAUCCUGGAGCUAACCCACACUUACAGCGUAAUCUGAAGUGAGACCCUCUGGCUCUCUGGGCAUCACCAUUCUGUUGUGGAAUCUCUGUUUGUUUGUUUGUUUGGAGACAGAGUCUUGCUCGGUCACACAGGCGGGAGUGCAGUGGUGUAAUUUCAACUCACUGCAACCUCCACUUCCUGGGUUCAAGUGAUUCUCCUGCCUUAGCCUCCCCAGUAGCUGGGAUUACAGGCAUGCGCACCCACACCUGGCUAAUUUUUUUAUUUUUAUUUUUAAUAGAGAAGACAUUUCACCAUAUUGGCCAGGCUGGUCUUGAACUCCUGACCUCAAGUGAUGCACCCAGCUCAGCCUCCCAAAGUGCUCAGAUUACAGGCAUGAGCCACUGCGCCUGGCCGUGGUGGAAUCUCUUAAUGUCUCAAGGUUAUGGUGAGGCCUAAAUGAACCUAUGGGCCUGAGAAAUCCUGUGCCUGUGAAGGCCAGGCCUGUUUUCCUGGCAAAUAAAACAGCAACGUCUGAGGCACAACAAGAACAGCAGCCAGGCAGUUUGCUUUAUAUGAAUUUUUAACCCCCAGGAAAUCCAAAGGCAGGCAAGCGGCAUUACUGGGUGCCUGCUAUGUGCCAGGCAUCAUGCUGGGCUAUGACCUACAGUAUCUCAUUCUCCCGUGCCAUGGGGCCUGCCUGCGUGGCAUUGGGUUUAAAAUACCCAUGUUUUUUCAGAAGAGGAAAGGGAAGCACAAAAACUGGCCAAGGUCACAUCUCUAGAAGGCUUCUGAUUGUCUGCAAAGAAGUCACCAAGAAAUGAGUCGAGGUGAGGGCCAGGGCAAUAGAGGGGCAGGUUUGGAAGCCAUUUGUACAUUAUGAGACCUGAAUAGAAGUUUUGGAGUCAAAAUAAAUAAGUAAGCAGCUGAUUUCCCUGGAGGAGACUCAAGCCACCUUUUAUUAUUUCAUUGGCUCAGGAGCCAGAACAGCUGCAUUUUAUCAUUCUUCAGAAAUCCAUAAAAGGGAUGGAAAAUGCUGCGCUCCUGAGGCUCCACCCCUCCUCUGCUGGAUGCUGCCAGCGGGGAUUGUGCCACUGUCUAACUCUGCCUUCUGAUGGUCUGUGUUCAAACAUUUUAUGGACAGGAAGCCAUCCUGCGGAGCCUGUGGAGAUGGGAAUGGGGGUGGGGCCAGGGUGGGAGGUGAG